rnacentral:rRNA from 1 species
CCUACGGGAGGCAGCAGUGGGGAAUAUUGGACAAUGGGCGAAAGCCUGAUCCAGCAAUGCCGCGUGAGUGAUGAAGGCCUUAGGGUUGUAAAGCUCUUUUACCAGGGAUGAUAAUGACAGUACCUGGAGAAUAAGCUCCGGCUAACUCCGUGCCAGCAGCCGCGGUAAUACGGAGGGAGCUAGCGUUGUUCGGAAUUACUGGGCGUAAAGCGUGCGUAGGCGGCGAUUCAAGUCAGAGGUGAAAGCCUGGAGCUCAACUCCAGAACUGCCUUUGAAACUAGAUUGCUAGAAUCUUGGAGAGGUCAGUGGAAUUCCGAGUGUAGAGGUGAAAUUCGUAGAUAUUCGGAAGAACACCAGUGGCGAAGGCGACUGACUGGACAAGUAUUGACGCUGAGGUACGAAAGCGUGGGGAGCAAACAGGAUUAGGAUACCCUGGUAGUCCACGCUGUAAACGAUGAUAACUAGCUGUCCGGGCUCUCAGAACUUGGGUGCGCNGNACGCAUAGUAUCGCGUGGAGUACGUCGCGAGAUAACUACAANAGAGUAGAGCGNGAGAGNGACGACGACGACGACGAGGAGAGG